GACGAACGCUGGCGGCGUGCUUAACACAUGCAAGUCGAACGGAAAGGCCCUGCUUUUGUGGGGUGCUCGAGUGGCGAACGGGUGAGUAACACGUGAGUAACCUGCCCUUGACUUUGGGAUAACUUCAGGAAACUGGGGCUAAUACCGGAUAGGAGCUCCUGCUGCAUGGUGGGGGUUGGAAAGUUUCGGCGGUUGGGGAUGGACUCGCGGCCUAUCAGCUUGUUGGUGGGGUAGUGGCUUACCAAGGCUUUGACGGGUAGCCGGCCUGAGAGGGUGACCGGCCACAGUGGGACUGAGAUACGGCCCAGACUACUACGGGAGGCAGCAGUGGGGAAUAUUGCACAAUGGGCGGAAGCCUGAUGCAGCAACGCCGCGUGCGGGAUGACGGCCUUCGGGUUGUAAACCGCUUUCGCCUGUGACGAAGCGUGAGUGACGGUAAUGGGUAAAGAAGCACCGGCUAACUACGUG
rnacentral:rRNA from 1 species